UGCCGUGAGGCUGAGACCGAGCCGGUCAGCCGGGCGGCGGGCGCCGGGGCUGGAGGGGCGCGCGGCGGGGGCGGUGGCCCGGCGUGUAGGCGCAGAGGCGGCCAUGGCGGGCAGCUUCCAUUCGGAGGAGCGGAGUAGCUGGUACGGGGGGCGGUUGAGCCGGCAGGAGGCAGUGGUGCUGUUGCAGGGCCAGCGGCACGGGGUGUUCCUGGUGCGGGACUCGAGCACCAGCCCCGGGGACUACGUGCUCAGCGUCUCCGAGGACUCGCGCGUCUCCCACUACAUCACCAGCAGUAGCGGGCCGCGCCCGCCGGUGCCCCCGUCGCCCGCCCAGUCUCCGCCCGCGGUGAGCCCCUCCAGACUCCGAAUAGGAGAUCGAGAGUUUGAUCCAUUGCCUGAUUUACUGGAAUCCUACAAAACACACUAUUUGGACACUACAACGUUGAUAGAACCAGUUUCCAGAUCCAGGCAGGGCAGUGGAGUGAUUCUCGGGCAGGCGGAGGCAGAGUAUGUGCGAGCCCUCUUUGACUUUAAUGGGAAUGAUGAAGAAGGUCUUCCCUUUAAGAAAGGAGGCAUCCCGAGCAUCCGAGAUGAGCCUCAAGAGCGGUGGUGGAAUGCAGAGGACAGCGAAGGCAAGAGGGGGUGAUUCCAAUCCCUUACGUCGAGAAGUGUAGACCCGCCUCCGCCUCAGUGCCGGCUGCGAUUGGAGGUCGGUGAGCUGGUGAAGGUUACGAAGAUCAAUGUGAGCGGUCAGUGGGAAGGGGAGUGUGAUGGCAAACGAGGUCACUUCCCAUUCACACAUGUCCGUC